GGCUUCGUGGUCUAGUGGUACGAUACUCGCUUUGGGUUAAGUUUCAAAAACCGUCUGCGAGUGGUCCCGGGUUCGAACCCCGGCGAAGCCC